GACGAACGCUGGCGGCGUGCCUAUACAUGCAAGUCGAGCGAGCGGAACUAACAGAUUUACUUCGGUAAUGACGUUAGGAAAGCGAGCGGCGGAUGGGUGAGUAACACGUGGGGAACCUGCCCCAUAGUCUGGGAUACCACUUGGAAACAGGUGCUAAUACCGGAUAAGAAAGCAGAUCGCAUGAUCAGCUUUUAAAAGGCGGCGUAAGCUGUCGCUAUGGGAUGGCCCCGCGGUGCAUUAGCUAGUUGGUAAGGUAAAGGCUUACCAAGGCGAUGAUGCAUAGCCGAGUUGAGAGACUGAUCGGCCACAUUGGGACUGAGACACGGCCCAAACUCCUACGGGAGGCAGCAGUAGGGAAUCUUCCACAAUGGACGCAAGUCUGAUGGAGCAACGCCGCGUGAGUGAAGAAGGUUUUCGGAUCGUAAAGCUCUGUUGUUGGUGAAGAAGGAUAGAGGUAGUAACUGGCCUUUAUUUGACGGUAAUCAACCAGAAAGUCACGGCUAACUACGUGCCAGCAGCCGCGGUAAUACGUAGGUGGCAAGCGUUGUCCGGAUUUAUUGGGCGUAAAGCGAGCGCAGGCGGAAGAAUAAGUCUGAUGUGAAAGCCCUCGGCUUAACCGAGGAACUGCAUCGGAAACUGUUUUUCUUGAGUGCAGAAGAGGAGAGUGGAACUCCAUGUGUAGCGGUGGAAUGCGUAGAUAUAUGGAAGAACACCAGUGGCGAAGGCGGCUCUCUGGUCUGCAACUGACGCUGAGGCUCGAAAGCAUGGGUAGCGAACAGG
rnacentral:rRNA from 1 species